GGGGUCGACCGGUUUUGACAGUAAGUGACAUUGAAGAGUAAGCAUACCGAGCUGUGAAAUGAAUGCUCGAUAAAAUCUAUUUCAAAAGUUUAAAUGGCGAGAAUAACUACGCUCUUGCUGCUUAAUCUGAAGUAAUAGUAGGAUUUUAAGCUAUAUCCCUACAGGUAGGGAGGCGAGAUGUCUCUAAAAAGCCCUUGUUGACGGCGUUUUGUACAGAGGCACCAUAAAAGUCAACAUUGAGCCUGCGGUAAGCUUCUGCUAAGGGUUCGUGAAUAGAGGAGGCUAGGCGUAAAGUGGGCGGUUUUUGGUCAGCUUUACGAAGAAAAUGAAACAAAAACUAAGUAUGUAGAAAGCUUUUUGAUGGCUUAUUUGGACGAGAGUUCGAUUCUCUCCGACUCCACGG
rfam:Capnocytophaga sp. oral taxon 332 str. F0381 genomic scaffold Scfld1534, whole genome shotgun sequence.